CCUUUCCCCUAGACGAUAAUGUGUUUUUCUCAUAAAAAUUCAUGGUUUGGGCUUUUACAUUUAGGCCUCUGAUCCAUCCAUAUAACUUUUGUAUAUGGUGUGAGGUAGGUUUGAGGUUAGUUUUCCCACUGUAUGGACAUCCAUUUUUAUUUCUGCAUUGUUUGUUGUAAAGACUUGUCCCCAUAGAUUGCUUUGAUGCCUUUGUUAAAAUUAAAUGAUAAUAUAGGUAUGGUUCUAUUUCUAGAAUAUUGUUUCAUUGAUCUCUAUAUCCAUCCUAAAGGAAUGAUACAUUAUUGAUUUGUUUUGUGAAAUAUUUUUGCAUCUGUGUUCAUGUAGGAUAUUAAUUGCUGUUUGCAUUUUUGUUUUUGAUUACUGUCGCAUUAUGAAAACUCUUAGAAGUCAGGUAGUAUAAGUCUUCCCAACUUUGUUUCCCCCCUUAUUGUUAGGUCCAUAUUUAGCUUGUCAAUUUCUUCUCUAAAAACUGCUGGAAUUAAAAUUGGGAUUGUAUUGAAUUUUUUCGUAAUGAUUUUAUUGAGAUGCCAUUCAUAAGCCUUAGAAUUCAUCCGUUUAAUUAGUUUUUCAGUGAUUUUUAAUAUAUUCAGAUGUGCUCAACCAUCACUACAGAAAAUUUUUGAACCAUUGUCAUUACCUCAAAAACCCUGUACCCUUUAGCUACCAUCCCUUUACUCUCUUCACCUCCACUAAUCUUUCUGUCUCUAAAUCUGUCUCAAUAGAUUUGUCUAUUCUGAACAUUUCAGAUAGAUGUGAUCAUAUAAUAUGUGAUUUUAUGGGCAGGAUUGUGUGCUCCCCAAAUUCAUAUGUUGAAGCCCUAGCCCUCAGUUUUAUAGUAUUUGAAGUUUGGGCCUUUGGGGGAAUAAUUAAGGUUAAAUGAGAUCAUAUGGUGGGGCCCUAAGCCUGUAGGGGUGAUGUCCUCAAGAGGAAGAGACCCCAGAGAAUGCGGUCUCCCCCCCAACCCCAAGUAGGAACAGAGGAAAGGCCAUGUGAGCAUACAAGGAUGGGGCAGCCGUCUGCAAGCCGGAAGAGAGCUCUCACCAGGAGCCAACCCUGAUGGCACCUUGAUCUUGGACUUCUAGCCUCCAGAACAGUGAGAAAAUAAAUAUCUGUUGUUUAAGCCACCCAGUCUGUGGCAUUGUCUUGGCAGCCUGAGUAGACUAAUAAUACAUGCCUUCUAUGACUGGCAUCUUCCAUUUACCAUAAUGUUUUCAAACUUCAUCUAUAUUGUAGCAUAUAUCAAUAUUUUGUUCAUUUUUAUGGCUCCAUAUAAUAACCCACUGACUGGGUUUAUCACAUUUUGUGUAUCCAUCCAUCAAUUGAUGGACAUUUGGGUUAUUUCUGCCUCUUUGCUAUUAUGAAUAGUGCUGCUCUAAACAUCCAUGAACAGGUUUUUAUAUAGACGUACAUUUUCAUGCUCUUGGGUAGAUAACUAAAGUGGAAUUUGGGGGUCAAAUGGUAGCUGUAUGGUUAACUGUUUGCAUAACUAUUUUCCAAAGUGGCCAUAUCAUUCUAAUUUCCCACCAGCUGUGUGUGAGCCUUCCAGUUUCUUCACAUCCUGACCAACACUUGGUACUAUUUUUUUUUUUUUUUAUUCUAGCCAUCAUCCUGAUGGACAUGAAGUUUACUCAUUGUGGUUUUGAUUUACGUUUCCCUGAUGACUAAUGAUGUGUCUACCUUGCUUAGAGAAAUGUCAGUUAAGAUCCUUUGCCUUUUUUUUUUUUAAUGAGAGAGAGUGCACCCUUGUGAAAGGAUGAGGGGCAGAGGGAGAAAGAGAAAAAGAUAGUGUUAAGUAGUCUCCACACUCAGCCCAGAGCCCCUCGUGGACCUCAUUCCCACGACCCUGGGAUCAUGACCUGAGCCAAAAUCAAGAGUCGGACACAACCAACUGAGCCACCCAGGCACCUCUCUUUGCCCAUUUUUUAACUCGGUUGUCUUUUGAUUGAGUUUUAAAGGUUUUUAAUACUACACACAAAUACUUUAUCAGAUUUGUAAAUAUUUUCUCCUAUUCUGUGGGUUGACUUUUCAUUAUCUUGAUUGUUCUUUGAUAUAAAAGUUUUAAAAAAUGUUGAAGUCCAAUUCAUUCAUUUUUUUCAUUGGUUACUUUUUGUUGUUACAUUUAAGAAUCCCUUGCCACAUCAAAGAUCAUGAUUGAGCGUUCUGUUUUCUGCUAAGUGGUUUAUAGUUUUAGGGUAGACAUUUAGGUCUUUGACCCGUUUUGAGUUUGUAUGGUGUGAGGAGUAAGAGUUGAAAAUUCAUUCGUUUGCCUGUGGCUGUCUGAAUUGUCCCAGCACCAGUUGUUGAAAGGCCAUUUUCAUUUUCCCCCCUUGAAUGGUCUUGGCAUUUUUGUUGAAAACCAGUUGUCCACAGACACCUGGGUUUAUUUCUGGAUUCUCAGUUCUGUUCCACUGACCUAUAUGUCUGUCCUUUGCCAGUACCUCUCUGUCUUGAUUUGUGCGGUGUAGGAACUUUUUAAAUAUUUGAAGUAUGAGUACUCCAACUUUGUUUUUUCAAGACUGUUUUGGGUUCCUUGCAAUUCCAUAUGAGUAUCAGAGGGCGCUUGUCGCUUCCUACAGUAAGAAACCAGCUGGGAUGCUGAUUGGGGUUGCACUGGACGUGUAUAUCAGUGUGCGGACUAUUGCCAUCCUAGUAAUACUGCCCUCCUACCUUUUUUUAUGGAAGUAUUUGAAGGUAUAAAUUUCUCAAAGGAAUUUUUACCUUUAUUCCACCAAUUUUGGUGUGUUUUGUUUUCAUUAUGAUUUAGUUCAAAACAUUUUACAAUUUUCCUUGUUAUUUCUUUUUUGACUCUUACAUUAUAUAGAAACGUUGUUUAGUUAGAAAUGGUUGAGGUUUUCCAGGGUAGCUCAUUGUUCCUGAUUUCUAAUAUAAUUCCAUUUUGGUCAGAGAACACUCUGUAUGAUUUCAGUCUUUAAAAAUGUAGAAAGGGCCAUUUUAAUGGCCCAGAAAAUAGCCUAUUUGAUGAGCAUACGGUGGACUGUUGAAAAGGAUAUGGAGGGGCUCCUGGGUGGCUCAGUCAGUUAAGCAUCCGACUCGGUUUCGGCUCAGGUCAUGAUCUCACGGUUCAUGAGUUUGACCCCCGCAUCGGUCUCUGCUGUCAGCCCAGAGCCCAAUUCAGAUCCUCUUGUCUCCCUCCCUCUGUGCCCCUCUCUUGUUUGCGCGUGCUCACUCUCUCUCUCUCUCUCAAAAUAAAAACUUUUAAAAAAAAAGAAAAGGAUAUGGAUUCAUUAGGUGUAGAUGGUGUUGUGCUGGAGCAGGAUCGCGUCGGCUUGUGGGAGGUGAGGGUGCACUUCUCUCCCCAAGCCCCUGCUCAGUAAUGUCCCGUUAGGAGCUGGAAAUCUGCCUUGGCAGGAGGAUUAUGCCACAUUUGGUUUGGUGUAUUUUGAAGCUCUGUUAGAAGAAUAUACAUUCAUGAUGGUCUUUUUAAUAAAUUGACCCUCUAAUUAGUACGAAAUGUCUCUCUGAUCUCCGGUAUUAUUUCCUUCAAGUCUGUUUGUCCAGUACUGUUACAGUCUCUUUAACCUUCUUCAGCUUAGUUUGCGUGAUCAUCUUUCCCCAUCUGUUCACUUUCAACCUACCUGUGUCUUUGCACUUCUGUUGUGUCGUCUGUAAUAGCAUAGAGAGUCCUCCCUGUAUUUGUCCCUUCCGGUCUUCCUUGUCUUUGGAUUGUAGGUUUUAGUCUAUCUGUUAACAUUUAUUGGAAGUAUUAAUAGGUUGAUUUUUAGAUUUACCUUUUUUUUUCCUGUUCUUUAAAACAUUUCUUUGUUCCUACUCUCCUCUCUUCUUUCGCAUUAUUUGGAAUUGUUUAGAAUUGCAUUUUAAUGUAUCUGUUGGCCUUUCAGGUGUUCAUCUGAGGUUGUGUGUGUUCUUAUUCUAAGGAUUACACUGUUCUUUUUUUCUUUUUCCUUUUUGCCUAGAGUUGACCCUGGAGUUUGCACUGUGUGGGUCAACUUACUGUCAGAUUUCUUUCAAUAAGUACAGUAUUUAAAUGUAUUUUCUCUUUAUGAUUUUCUUUUCUCUACCUUACGAAUUGUAAGAACACUGCAUAUAAUACAUGUAACAUAUAGAAUGUGUGCUAAUUAACUGUUUAUGUUGUCGGUAAGGCUUCUGGCGAACAGUAGACUAAUAAUAGUCCAGUUUGUGGGGAGUCAAAAGUUAUAUGUGGAUUUUAUACCGCGUGGAGGGUCAGCACCCUUAACCCCCACAUUGUUCAAGAGUGAACUGUACUUAGAGUUCAUAUCAUGUGACCUCACGGAGAAUGUAGAAACCUUCAACUGUACAGUUCCACUUACUAUCCCACUAGCCUGUUGUAUGAUACAUCUACAUAUGCUUUAAACCCACAGACAGUAUUAUAAGUUUUUGGUUUAAACCAUCCUCUGUAUUUUAAAGAAUUAAGAAAAGUAAUCUUUUAUACUUUAUAUUUACUUUAUAAUAAUCUUGAUACUUAUAUUUACUGUUUCUGAUGGUUUUCAUUUCUUUCUCAAGAUCUAAGGUUCCAUCUAGUAUCAAUUCCCUUCCGCCUGAAAUGCAAGUCUGUACUAUGUGAAGUCCCUUAGUUUUAUUUUUGAGAAUAUUUUCACUGGAAAAAGAAUUUUUGAUUGAUGGACUUUCCCCCUCUUCAACAUUUAAAGAUGUUACUACUCUGUCUUCUGGCCUUUGUAUUUGUUAAUGAACACUUAGUGGUAAUUUUAAUUCUUGUUUGGUAUGUUACAAGUAACUUUUCCUAGUUGGCUUUCAAGAAUUUCUUCUCCCUUUUGGUUUUCAGCAGUUUAUUUUCUUUUUCUUUCUCUCUUCUUCAGAAUUGAUCAUUUUUGAUGGUCUCUCUGUGUAAGUCUUAUCUCCUCAUUCUGUUGUCAAGCCCAUCCAAUAAAUAAGUUAUUCUAGAUAAUAUUCAGUUCUAGAAUUUUUCUUCAUAGUUACUAUUUUUUACUGCAGUUAGUUUUCACUUAUUAUGACCAUGUUUUCGUUCAUAUCCUUGAGUAUAGAUAUAGGUACAUUGUCUCCUAAUUCCAACAUUGGGUUCUCUCCAGAUUAGUCUCUCGAUUAUCUCUUCUCUUGAGGAUGGGUCUCCUUUUCUUGUUUCUUUUUAUAUGAGCAAAAUUGGAUUGUGCCAUUCCCUCCUUCCGAGACUAGGCUACCCUUCAGUAUAAACUUCUUUUUGUUGUUCUCUGGUGGCUUCAGACAGUUGGUUUUAUAUUUAUUCUAGUUUAGUUACUUUUUGCCAGAAAUUGUGGUUAGAUACACUGGUACCAAUCACAGAACCAUGGUUUAAGUAUAACUUAAAGUUUCCAUGUCGACUAAAACAGCCUCCACAGUGAUGUGAGUGUUGGGAUGAAGUCAGAUUGGAGGUAGGGGUUUGCAGUGAACCGUAUUUUCUGUCAGCAGGAAUUCAGUAACUUACGCAAAGGUCAAUUGGUCAAAGAACAGUAGAGGCAUGUGAUUUGAAGAUAUGUGCAUAUCCGCCUGGACAAAUCACCUCUUAAAUUGAAAAAAAAUUAAGAGUGGUUGCUACUUAAAAAAAAAAAAGAAAGGGAUGCCUGGGUGGUUCAGUUGGCUAAGUGUUUGUCGCUUGAUUUCAGUGUCAUGAGUUCAAGCCCUGCAUUGGGCUCUGGAGCCUGCUUUAAAAAAUAAAGAAAUAAAAGAGUGGUUGCUAUUGGGGUGCCUGGGUGGCUCAGUCGGUUGGGCUUCCAACUUUGGCUCAGGUCAUGAUCUCACAGCUCUUGAGUUCGAGCCCCGCGUUGGGCUCUGUGCUGACAGCCUGGAGCCUGCUUUGGAUUCUCUCUCUCUCUCUCUCUCUCUCUCUCUCUCUCUCUCUCUCAGCCCCUCCCCUGCUUGUGCUCUGUCUCUCAAAAAUGAAUAAAUGUAAAAAAAAAUAAAUUUAAAAAAAAAAAGAGUGGUUGCUACUGAAGGUGGGGAAGGGUGAACCGUAGCACUCUUGCUUUUUAUUGUAAGUUUUUCUGCAUUACUUACCUAAGGUAUAAGUUCUUAGAAGAAAACUCAAAUUUUAGCAAGCAGGAAAUCUAACCACUACUGUCUCUAGCCACUACUGACUAAUGCUUUCCACGCCAUACUCUGGGUAAUGGGAAGGGUAAUCCUAAUUUGGGAACAAAUGUGAAGUUCAAGUCUGGAUAGAAACUUGAAGACCGAUUUUAAGAGGUUUCCUUUUGUUAAAAUUGUGCCUUUUGGUUUGUUCUGUGAGACCGGGUUCCUUGCAUUGUGUCCAGUCCUCUCUGAGGAGGUGAGGCUGGGAGGAAUGAUUGGUAGCGGGGGGAGAGUGUGUCCUGUGCUCCGGCCUUUCCUCUGGAAAGAGUACUUGGUGAAGAAGAAAGAAUUGUGUGCCUAAAAGGUUUUUAUUAACCCCCUCCCCCACCUUCAGAAGUAACAGCUGUUGAAGUCCAGAGGGGCACCUGGCGGGCCCAGUCGGAAGACCAUAGGACUCUUGAUCUUGGGAUCGUGAGUUCAACCCCAUGUUGGGUGGAGAGAUUACUUAAAUAAAUAAGAAAAAUAAUAAAGGCCAAGCAGAUACAUCAACUUUUAUCUUCAUGCCCAAUAGCAUGAAGCUUAGUAUGCGUAGAAUAGCGUAUUAGAUGCUAUUCUUUUAGGUUCCUUUUUUACUUAUUUGUGUCUUUUUAACAUAUUUUCAUAUGGCUCUAUGAAUAUACCAGUUAGUGAUUCUAAGGUUGUGGGUUUUUUUUGUUGUUGUUGCUGUUGUUUGUUUGUUUGUUUUUUAAGUGCUUCAUCCCGUGGGUGGCACAGGACCGUGGUUGGUCGGGUGUCAGUCACGACACAGUGGUCAUUACCUGCACCUGUGCAAACUUGACUAUGCCCUGUUCUGUCAGCAUUAAGGACCUUUUGAAGAAUUUGCCCUGAAAAAACCUUUUAAUACAAGCAGGCUCAGGACCUAAACUUACAAAAUGGGUGGGAGCAGAUGAGUAGGAAAUGCUUAGUUCCUCUGUGACCGGAAAGCUCACGGGCAGUACUCACGCCCUUGGUGCUCACGGAGCACCGUUACAGGUGGAAAACACAGCCCUCCUUGACAAGGGUCUUAAAGAUUCAGCGGAGUGAGACUGCGUAAAACCUCCGAGGAGUGUCUUAACCAAUUCAUUUAACUUUUCUUUACUUACAAAGAGUGUUAGGAUAAAUCUGUUUGAGUCUAAAUGGCUAAUCUUUAAGUAAACCUAAAAAUUCCAUCGAAGGAUGUUGUAUUUUAACUGGUAGCAUUUUCUUAGUGUAACGAUACGUAUUAUGAUUGGUGUCUUAGAUGAAAUUUGGUCAAUACAUCACAGGUUUUAUAGCCACUCUACGUUCUUCGACAUUGUUAAAAGCUGCGUACCAUAUCCUCAGACGAAUCUGACAGGGUAUUUACCUAAUUCCCUAUGUUUGCCGUAUAGAUUGUUACAAGGUUUUUGCCACUGUGAGCAAUGCUGUGAUAGUUUGCUAGCUUAGUAUUUUUAUAAUUCUGUGAUAAUUUCCCCAUGAUAAAUGCGUAUAGUUAUUGUAUCAAAAGGAAUGUGCUUUAAGGCUUUUGAAUAUUUCUAAAUUUUAUUCCAGAAAAAAUCCUAACUGUGUACUCUCUGACCCCCAAUGGAUAGAAGCUCCCAUUUUCCUGCACUUUGGCUAUCAUUGGGCUUCAUUGUUUCUUUAAUUUAAUAUUCAUUGUUUAAUUUAAAUUCAUUGUUAAUUUAAUAACUGGGAGAUGAAUAUAUUGCCACGAGACAGAAGUCAGUUCGAACGAGGUAACCUAAGAAGUUCCCCGGAACCAAACACCUAGAACUGUGUGCUUGGUAAAAAGUAUGAGCCUCUGUGUGGAAGCAGGAGGAUAUGAUAUGGGGAGGGGUGCUCUGGAGGACAGAGGCCACACAGAAAAGGAGACAAAGCCUUGUGCCUUGGCGAGGAGGGAGAGAGCUGCUGUUUCCAUGGAGAUCUUUAGUGACAAGAUUGUGAAGGAUAUGACGUAAUAUACAGAAGAGAACGUGAAAAUCAUAAACUCAGGAGAAUCUUCGCCUCGCUGUAGUCAGAGAAAUGCAUAUUAACACCGUGGCGACCCGCAGUACAAAUGUGUGGAAGAGGCUGUCGGCUGUUAAACAGCACUGGUGGCUGUCCAGCGACAGCACAUCUGACAACAGCUUUAUUGGGAACUACCAAAACCUGGACCUCAACCAAAGUGAUCGUUCGUAGGGUCCGUCAACAAGAAAACGGAGGACUUAUUGUAAGGUCUAAGCUGUAUCUAAAACUUGAAAACAUACGGAAUGGUAAUUUCAGGUACAGUGUUACAGUAAGAUAUAAAAACAUUCAUAGGAAGUGCUGUGCACCACAUCAUGGGGUAUUUGCCCCUAGGGAAAGCAGAAGGAAGGGAGACACUGGGGAGCAGUACAAAGCAGGUCUCUUGCAGAAUCUGUACUAUUUAAUUUCCUAAAAAGUUGAGGGAGGUGUAGCUGGAAUGAGACCAUGGGAGUAGGAGAUUUGUCCAAACUGCAUCAUCAGUUUAUAAGACUUCAUUGUAUGUUAUAAACUUGAAAUGUUUAAUGAAGUGAUUGGUUGUUUUAAGGCAGAGUUCCUUGAUUACUGAAGCUAAAGAUUUUUUUUCAGCUUUUUAACCACUAAUACAUAUUUCUUUCAGCUUUGGGAUUUUCUGUUGGUAUGCUCUCCCCAUGUUUCUGUGGAGGUUAACUUUUUCACGUUUUUAAUUCUCUUAAUUGAUUAAAGAUAGUAACUCGUUAAAGAUCUCUUUUACUAAGAUAUUUUCAGAAUCUCAGAUUAAGUGUUUAGAUGACUUUGCUUAGAAAAGCUUUCUCCAAUCUGAGAUCAGGAAACAGUUCGUGGGUAUUUUCUUCGUUUUAUGGUUUAGGUUUGUACAUUUUAAGUCUUAACCCUUCUGUGUCAUGUAUUUUGGAGUACGGAAUGUGUUUUGAAAUCACCUCUGUCUUUACGCACUAACCUGAAACAGGCCAGAAUUUAUUGUCUUAAUGAUUUUUCUUUCUAAGUCCAUGUUGUCUGUUAGUUUUAUCCAAGUGGUAAUACGUGCAGAUGAACUGAAAUCGUAUGAAAGGUUGUAUAACAAAGUAGCGUGGUUCUCUGCCUUCCCGGCCUCCCAGUCCUCAGCAGCUCCCCUCCAGCUGUUUCAGACUUCCGCUGUCUGUCCUGUGACUUACGCAGCUCCCUCCCCGUCAGUACUGCGCAUGCGUGAUGCACAUCUGUGAUUGAUCAAUUUUAGACAUUUGUGACUUCCUGUGAUAAGAGGUUUCUUGCACUGCCAUUUCUUCUGCUUUUUGUCCUUCGUCCACAAAGUGUAGCUUUGUUUACAUUCGUUUAUGAAUAAUUUUAAAAUAAAGCUUCAGUUAUUUUGAUAUUUAUAAUACAUGCUUCUAGAAAGAUAGCUAGGCAUCAAAAUAGACUCUGGUUAUAGCUUUUUGUUUUUCUUGAAGGAGAUAAUUGCUUUUUUUUUUCUCUUGUAUGGAACCUUUGUACCGAUUGCCAGUUCUUUUCAUGCCUUCUGAAGGACAGUUUCCCACAAGGUCACUCACAUUACGUGAUCUUAGAAGGUCCUGUGUUUCCUUGGUGACCUUCCUCAGAACAUUCCUUCAUUCGCAGCAGGCUGGUCCCUGGGCCUGCCGACAGGCUUGUAGGUGGGGCUGGCUGAUGUCUAGCUUCAUUGCUGUGGUGGAUGGGGUCUUAUUUUCA